AACGAACGCUGGCGGCAUGCCUAACACAUGCAAGUCGAACGAGACCUUCGGGUCUAGUGGCGCACGGGUGCGUAACGCGUGGGAAUCUGCCCUUGGGUUCGGAAUAACUCAGAGAAAUUUGAGCUAAUACCGGAUAAUGUCUUCGGACCAAAGAUUUAUCGCCUUUAGAUGGGCCCGCGUAAGAUUAGCUAGUUGGUGGGUAAAGGCCUACCAAGGCGACGAUCUUUAGCUGGUCUGAGAGGAUGAUCAGCCACACUGGGACUGAGACACGGCCCAGACUCCUACGGGAGGCAGUAGUGGGGAAUAUUGGACAAUGGGCGAAAGCCUGAUCCAGCAAUGCCGCGUGAGUGAUGAAGGCCUUAGGGUUGUAAAGCUCUUUUACCCGAGAUGAUAAUGACAGUAUCGGGAGAAUAAGCUCCGGCGUAACUCCGUGCCAGCAG
rnacentral:rRNA from 1 species